UACCAGCACCCCCGAGUGGUCGGGACGAUUAUUGGGCCUAAAGCAUCCGUAGCCGGUCAUGCAAGCCCUCCGUUAAAUCCACCUGCUUAACAGAUGGGCUGCGGAGGAUACUACAAGGCUAGGAGGCGGAAGAGGCAAGCGGUACUCAGUGGGUAGGGGUAAAAUCCUCUGAUCCAUUGAAGACCACCAGUGGCGAAGGCGGCUUGCCAAUACGCGCUCGACGGUGAGGGAUGAAAGCUGGGGGAGCAAACCGG
rnacentral:rRNA from 1 species